UGCAGUCGAACGAUGAACCGCUUUCGGGCGGGGAUUAGUGGCGAACGGGUGAGUAACACGUGGGCAAUCUGCCCUGCACUCUGGGACAAGCCCUGGAAACGGGGUCUAAUACCGGAUAUGACUGUCCAUCGCAUGGUGGAUGGUGUAAAGCUCCGGCGGUGCAGGAUGAGCCCGCGGCCUAUCAGCUUGUUGGUGAGGUAGUGGCUCACCAAGGCGACGACGGGUAGCCGGCCUGAGAGGGCGACCGGCCACACUGGGACUGAGACACGGCCCAGACUCCUACGGGAGGCAGCAGUGGGGAAUAUUGCACAAUGGGCGAAAGCCUGAUGCAGCGACGCCGCGUGAGGGAUGACGGCCUUCGGGUUGUAAACCUCUUUCAGCAGGGAAGAAGCGAAAGUGACGGUACCUGCAGAAGAAGCGCCGGCUAACUACGUGCCAGCAGCCGCGGUAAUACGUAGGGCGCAAGCGUUGUCCGGAAUUAUUGGGCGUAAAGAGCUCGUAGGCGGCUUGUCACGUCGGUUGUGAAAGCCCGGGGCUUAACCCCGGGUCUGCAGUCGAUACGGGCAGGCUAGAGUUCGGUAGGGGAGAUCGGAAUUCCUGGUGUAGCGGUGAAAUGCGCAGAUAUCAGGAGGAACACCGGUGGCGAAGGCGGAUCUCUGGGCCGAUACUGACGCUGAGGAGCGAAAGCGUGGGGAGCGAACAGGAUUAGAUACCCUGGUAGUCCACGCCGUAAACGGUGGGCACUAGGUGUGGGCAACAUUCCACGUUGUCCGUGCCGCAGCUAACGCAUUAAGUG
rnacentral:rRNA from 1 species